UUAUCAUCUAUUAUGUGUACCUGCUGCUCAGACUCAAAGAAACCCUCUUUCAUUGUUACUCUCUGGGCUUUUAUGCUGUGCUUCAUUGUCAGGAGUCCUGCUCAAGGUAAGGUUGUGGUGAUUGGUUCAAAUCUUCCAAUCAUCGCCGCUCCGGGUGAUGAUGUCAUCCUGCCGUGUCACCUGGAGCCCACGUUCGAUGUCCAGGGUCUGACGGUGGAGUGGUCCAAACCCGACCUGAAGCCCGACCCGUCGGACCGGCUGAGCCGAGUGGAGUACGUUCACCUGUACAGGGACAGGCAGGAGGUCCCCGACAUGAAGAUGGCCUCGUACUUCAGGAGGACGGAGCUGUUCAUGGACGACAUGAAACACGGGAACAUUUCACUGAAGAUCCUGAACGUGUCGGAGGAAGACAACGGCAGAUACAGAUGUUUCAUCCCCAAGCUGCGGAGCAGAGUGAAAGCUGCUGUUGUUGAACUUGUAGUCGAUCCAAACAAUACUAAAAACCUGACGACAGACAGACCACUGCAUCCCCAAAUCCUCCAAACUCCAAAUCCUCAGGACACGACUCCAAGAAAUACAGGUCGGUCCAGGGUCUCUGUGGUCGUCGUUAUCUUUGCCUUUAUAUCAGUUGUGGCUGUCGCUGCUUUCGCUCCAUGUUUCUCUGACCGUGUAAAUAAGCAACCAGAGGAUGAUGAGACGCAAAGAUAACAGUAACCUGGCAUUGUUAGGAACGCUGGUGUUAAUGGAGCUGAGAGCGUUAGAGCUUUAUCUUCCCUGGAUCUUCAGUCAGGUUGGGAAUUCAAACCAGCAGCCACAGAGAGACACUCGGGUCCAGCAGCACUGAGAUCAUCAUAAGGUCACUCCUACAAAAGGAUCUUUAGUUGUGAUCAAGUGCUGGCUGAUGUGCAUCACCUGCUGAAAGGCAGUCUGGUUUGGAAGGUUGUCCAGGAUGAUCCCAGCGUCCACUGCAGAUCACAGCGUGUGAAUAUUCUGAAGAUUUCAAAAGCAUCAGCAGCUUUCAAGUGACAAACACUGGAUUUAUGGAGUUCAUAUAGAGACGUCUUUUGUUUUAUUGACUGUAUUGUGGAAACGGAGUCUUUGAUAGUUCAUUUGAUCAGAUCUGAUUGUUUUUCUUACUUCACAUGUUUUCUUUUGUUUUUUCUACCAUCUUUAAUGUCUCAGUGAAACUGAACUGUGAGUUGAGUACUUGAAGUACAGAAAGACCUCCUGCACUGUGUUAAUUAACUCCAGCACUUUGUCAAAUGUAUGUGCACUGAUACAGUCGUUCCUUCAUUUAACCACACUUGAAUUUAAAAGAUAUUCUGUAGUGACUGGGUUUAAGGUUAAAAGGAAUGGCUAAUUUAUUACAUUUAUUUUGAACCUACUACUUGAAAGGUUGGUGGUUCGAUCCCCGUCUGCUCCAGUCUUGAUGCCAAAUAUCUGUAAUAUAAUCUAUCAUUUUCUUAUACAGCCCACUGUCAGCCUUUUCCUUUACCCCCUCUCUCUUUGCUGUGUGCCUUGCCUAUCAGUGCUACACUCUGCUUUUUUCAUCUGCCUGGCUUUCCCACUUUUUCUUAUCUAACCUCUUUCUUUGAAUAUUUUCCCGUACUUCCUCAUACCACAGCAAACUUUCAGUGUCUUCUUUCCUCUGUCCAGAGUUUCGCUCAGCACUACGGCUCUACUUUUCCCAGUCACCUGAUAACUCUUCCCUACCACCCAGAGCCUUUCUCAGCUCUUAUCUGAACUCUAUGAAAUAUUCUUCUUUCCUCAGCUUCCACCAUAAACUCCUUGGAUCUCCCUUCGUUUCCUCUUCUAACUGACAUCCAACCUGUGGGACAAACGCUCUGACAACUUUCAACAACGUGCUGAAAUAAUGCCAAGUGUCCUUCCUGACCCAAGCCUCCCCCAUGUCCCUCUUAUGAUACGCCAAAAUCCACACUAAUAUGCAUAUGUAAAAAGACAACACAAAUUUGACAAUACAGCGUUAUAUUCAGUAUUGGGUAAACAAUAUAUAAGUAUUUUUGUAGACUGAGAGAUUAAAAAAUGCGUCAAUGUGAAUAACUGAGUCAUGGCUCGGGCUGACGGUAGAUAGCUGAAUGAAUUUGAAGCGACAUAUAAUCCUUAACUUGUUUGAUUUUAG